rnacentral:lncRNA from 1 species
CAUGGGCAUGGUCAACGUGGGCAUGGUCAACGUCAAUGGCGUGGUCAACAUGGGCAUGGUCAACGUCAAUGGUGUGGUCAACAUCAAUGGCAUGGUCAACGUCAAUGGUGUGGUCAACAUCAAUGGCAUGGUCAACGUCAAUGGCAUGGUCAACAUGGGCAUGGUCAAUGUCAAUGGCAUGGUCAACAUGGACAUGGUCUAUGUCAAUGGUGGGGUCAUCAUGGCCAUGGUCAGCGUCAAUGGUGUGGUCAACAUGGGCAUGGUCAACGUGGGCAUGGUCAACGUCAAUGGUGUGGUCAACAUCAAUGGCAUGGUCAAUGUCAAUGGUGUGGUCAUCAUGGCCAUGGUCAAUGUCAAUGGUGUGGUCAACUUGGCAAUGGUCAAUGUGGCCAUGGUUAACGUCAAUGGUGUGGUCAACUUGGCCAGGGUCAACGUCAAUGGUGUGGUCAACAUCAAUGGCAUGGUCAAUGUCAAUGGUGUGGUCAACUUGGCAGUGGUCAAGGUGGACGUGGUCGACGUCAAUGGCGUGGUCAACAUGGCCAUGGUCAACGUGGACAUGGUCAAUGUCAAUGGCAUGGUCAACAUGGGCAUGGUCAACAUGGGCAUGGUCAACGUGGCAUGGUCAACAUGGACAUGGUCUAUGUCAAUGGCGUGGUCAACAUGGCCAUGGUCAACGUGGACAUGGUCAAUGUCAAUGGCAUGGUCAACACUGCCAUGGUCGUCAAUGGCAUGGUCAACAUGGACAUGGUCUAUGUCAAUGGUGGGGUCAUCAUGGCCAUGGUCAAUGUCAAUGGCAUGGUCAACGUGGCCAUGGUCAACAUGGACAUGGUCAAAGUGGUGGGGUCAACAUGGUGGGGUCAACAUGGUGGGGUCAACAUGGCCAACAUGGGCAUGGUCAAUGUGGCAUGGUCAACAUGGAUAUUGUCAAUGUCAAUGGCGUGGUCAAUGUGGCCAUGGUCAACAUCAAUGGCGUCGUCAGCAUGGUCAUGGUCAACAUCAACAGUACACUCAACCAUCAAUGGUGUGGUCAACAUGGUCGUGGUCAACAUGGUCGUGGUCAACAUCAAUGGUGUGGUCAACAAGGCCAUGGUCAACAGUGCCAUGGUCAACAAUCACCACCAUGGCCUACAACGUUGUAGCCCAUGACCCCAUGACCACCUCAUGGCCACUGAAGCCAUCCCAUGGCCACCACCACCCCC